AUUGAACGCUGGCGGCAUGCCUUACACAUGCAAGUCGAACGGCAGCGCGGACUUCGGUCUGGCGGCGAGUGGCGAACGGGUGAGUAAUGUAUCGGAACGUACCAUUGAGUGGGGGAUAACGUAGCGAAAGUUACGCUAAUACCGCAUAUUCUCUCCGGAGGAAAGCAGGGGACCGCAAGGCCUUGCGCUCUUUGAGCGGCCGAUAUCAGAUUAGCUAGUUGGUGGGGUAAAAGCUCACCAAGGCGACGAUCUGUAGCGGGUCUGAGAGGAUGCUCCGCCACACUGGAACUGAGACACGGGCCAGACUCCUACGGGAGGCAGCAGUGGGGAAUUUUGGACAAUGGGGGCAACCCUGAUCCAGCCAUGCCGCGUGAGUGAAGAAGGCCUUCGGGUUGUAAAGCUCUUUCGGCCGGGAAAAAAUCGCAUGGAUUAAUACUCUGUGUGGAUGAUGGUACCGGAAUAAGAAGCACCGGCUAACUACGUGCCAGCCGCCGCAGUAA
rnacentral:rRNA from 1 species